rnacentral:lncRNA from 1 species
GGUGCUGCCCCUUUUCUGCUGGUGUGCACUCGCUGGAGUUCCCCUUGCCGGACCGACGACUUGCUACCCUUGGAGAUCCACGAGCAAGCCGUGCUUAGGAAAGAAAAAAACAAAAAGAAGAAAAAGAAAGGAAAUUAGGUAGUUUUAUUUUCUUUUUUCAUUAAAUUUAUUUUAUUUAUUUCUUUUAAGUUUAGUUGUUAUUGUGUAAAUUUGAAGUGAUCUUCAUUUCAUGAAUUUU